CGUUGUCUAAUGGUUAUGACGUCAGACUUCUAUAUUACAUAAUUCCUAUUACGUAAUGACUCAAUCUGGAGGUUGCGGGUUCGAGUCCCGCCG
rnacentral:tRNA from 1 species